UACAGAGGGUGCGAGCGUUAAUCGGAAUUACUGGGCGUAAAGCGUGCGUAGACGGUAGCGUAAGUCAGAUGUGAAAGCCCCGGCUCAACCUGGGAAUUGCAUUUGAGACUGCUCUGCUCGGGUGCGGAAGAGGGAAGCGGAAUUUCCGGUGUAGCGGUGAAAUGCGUAGAUAUCGGAAGGAACACCAGUGGCGAAAGCGGCUUCCUGGUCCGACACCGACGUUCAGGCACGAAAGCGUGGGGAGCAAACAGG
rnacentral:rRNA from 1 species